rnacentral:rRNA from 1 species
UACGUAGGGACCAAGCGUUGUUCGGAUUUACUGGGCGUAAAGGGCGCGUAGGCGGCUUAACAAGUCACUUGUGAAAUCUCCGGGCUUAACUCGGAACGGCCAAGUGAAACUGUCAAGCUAGAGUGCAGAAGGGGCAAUCGGAAUUCUUGGUGUAGCGGUGAAAUGCGUAGAUAUCAGGAGGAACACCAAUAGCGAAGGCAGCUCGCUGGGACGGUACUGACGCUGAGGUGCGAAAGCGUGGGGAGCGAACAGG